AUUGAACGCUGGCGGCAGGCCUAACACAUGCAAGUCGAGCGGAUGAAGGGAGCUUGCUCCUGGAUUCCGCGGCGGACGGGUGAGUAAUGCCUAGGAAUCUGCCUGGUCGUGGGGGAUAACGUCCGGAGACGGGCGCUAAUACCGCAUACGUCCUGAGGGUGAACGUGGGGGUUCUUCGGACCUCACGCUUUCUGCUGAGCCUAGGUCGGAUUAGCUAGUUGGUGGGGUAAAGGCCUACCAAGGCGACGAUCCGUAACUGAUCUGAGAGGAUGAUCAGUCACACUGGAACUGAGACACGGUCCAGACUCCUACGGGAGGCAGCAGUGGGGAAUAUUGGACAAUGGGCGAAAGCCUGAUCCAGCCAUGCCGCGUGUGUGAAGAAGGUCUUCGGAUUGUAAAGCACUUUAAGUUGGGAGGAAGGGCAGUAAGUUAAUACCUUGCUGUUUUGACGUUACCAACAGAAUAAGCACCGGCUAACUUCGUG
rnacentral:rRNA from 1 species